AUUGAACGCUGGCGGCAUGCCUUACACAUGCAAGUCGAAACGGCAGCACGGGAGCUUGCUCCUGGUGGCGAGUGGCGAACGGGUGAGUAAUAUAUCGGGAACGUACCCUAGAGUGGGGGGAUAACGCAGCGAAAGUUGCGCUAAUACCGCAUACGAUCUAUGGAUGAAAGCGGGGGAUCGCAAGACCUCGCGCGAUUGGAGCGGCCGAUAUCAGAUUAGGUAGUUGGUGAGGUAAAGGCUCACCAAGCCGACGAUCUGUAGCUGGUCUGAGAGGACGACCAGCUACACUGGGACUGAGACACGGCCCAGACUCCUACGGGAGGCAGCAGUGGGAAUUUUGGACAAUGGGCGCAAGCCUGAUCCAGCAAUGCCGCGUGCAGGAUGAAGGCCUUCGGGUUGUAAACUGCUUUUGUACGGAACGAAACGGUGAGCUCUAAUACAGUUUGCUAAUGACGGUACCGUAAGAAUAAGCACCGGCUAACUACGUG
rnacentral:rRNA from 1 species